GCUUGCAUCCUGGGGUUGUAGGACUGGACAUUGGAGUUACAAAAAUUUGGAUUAGCAAAAUGACAUGGGAAGGUCAGCCAUAGCGGGUGAGAGCCCCUUACGCUAAAAUCCAAAUCCUCCGUCCAGGAUCCUGAGUACGGCCAGACACGUGAAAUCUGGUCGGAAUCUGGGAGGACCAUCUCCCAAGGCUAAAUACUACCUAGUGACCGAUAGUGAACCAGUAC
rnacentral:ncRNA from 1 species